rnacentral:lncRNA from 1 species
GGACUUGUAGAUUUUCUGAGCUUUCUGGUGAGAUUAAUCCUACAAAAGUAUUGGUCAAUGAGAAUUUUAAUGGUUAAUAGCUUAUAAGGUGUGGUCCGCACAAGCCGUUUUUGGUUCCCCACAUCCAAUAUCAAACAAUUUUAUCUUUUAUUUUUUGAGAACUGGAAUGAGAAAUAUCUCGACCGAAAUCUGUGUAUGUUAUAAUUUCAAAUUAACCAUGGCUGGAAGGGCAGCAAAUUUUUCUUGGUUCAUGUCGAUUGCUUGUUGCUGUUGUUAAAACCCUACCAACCACAAAACCAAGAAAAAAAUUGCUAGUGACGUGCCUUCAUGGUGACUGCUUGUCAAUUGAUUGAAGUAACUUGGAUUCCAUUGUGAAAUAGAUAUAUGAAGAGAAACAAAAUAUAUUUUGAAAUAUAGAAUAAUUGUAGCCGUAAUAAAAUCUAGAUCUAUCGAACUCAAAAUGAGUCGCAUAUCUCUCUCUCUCCCACAUAAAUCUUUGUGGUGGGUGUAAUGUAACAACGGGGGACCUCAUCCAAAAUAGCUAGCCGAAAGGUAUUAUUUGAGUUCUUUCAGUUUGUAUAAGUAUCCAAGAUCUAUCCAGCGAAUAACCGUUGUGGGACUAAACACAUGCCGGCACGGGUCUUCACAUGUAGAGCCAUGGCUAAUGUGAUUUCAAGCAAAUUAAAAUUGUUGGUUGAAAUCUAUACUCCGAACCCGGUUUGCCUUGGGUUCAACUUGCACCACCAAGAAUUUAUGGAAGGGCUCCCCUUUCUUAUACAUGGAAGAGUUUUUCAUCCCAUAUGAUGGCAGCAUCAUCAUAAAAAUAAUUUAUUUUUAAAGUAAAAACUAAUAGUUGAACUCAAAUAAUUCAAUCAACAAAAAGUCAAAAUUAUUAUAUACUUUAAGAUUUAAAAACACUUCUAAUCUUGUAGUACAAAAUUUUGUGAGGCUUUUGCUUAUAAAUGAUUAAAAAAAGAACAAAGACAUUUGAGACCUUCAAGUCCUCUAUUGAAUGCUCUGCGAAAAUAGAAGUGGGUUAGAAGAGAUAUCUCCUCUCCUUUCCCCCACCCUCAUUUCUCUUGUCCAUAUUUGUCUAAUCUGAAAACAUUCUAAUUGAUCUUUCAAUCCAGAACUCUACCCAC